UUGUCGUAUGCAAUUCAUCCAAUUCAAUAACUUAAGGAAAAUCUGAGGGUUAAUUAGUGCAAUUCACGGUUAAAAUGGGGUGUUGGGAAUUCAUGGUUUAUUGAGAAGCAAUUGGAAAUCGUUUUGUAUGCAAGUGUGACAUGUGUGGAGAAGAACCCCUUAGCUAGCUUUCCAUCCAUUCACUUUUCUCAAAUUCGUUUUAGAAUCUGUUCAAUUUACAAGUUUUGUUUUUGUUUUCAAUUUUCGUCAAAACCAAUUCCCCAUUUAUUUUAAAGUGUUGGAUUAAGUAGAAAUUAAUUUAGUUUGUGUUUUUAAGGGUCUGGAGUCAAGUCAUAACCCAAUUUCGUCCAAUUUAGUGUUAGGUGUUCAAAACUGCCCAGAAAGUGUUUUUAAGGCAGUUUUGAGUGUUGAUUUGCUGUUUUGAGUCUUUUGGUUUGUUUUAGUGUUUUAUAGUUUAGUUUUGCAUUUUUUGAGUCUAGUUUAGUGUUUUAGACUUUGUUUUUACGUUUGAGUCAGUUUCAAGUGAUUUGGCAAUCCCUCCUAAUCCCCGGCCUAGAACGAUCCCUACUUACAUACUUUGCUACAAUUGAUAAAAAGAGGGUUUAAUUUGUGUGCUUAUAUAUUUCGCAUCAAGUACCGUAAAGUGGAUUGAAAAUCAUACCAUUUAAGGUAAUCUCCAAUACCAAGACUUGCCACAAAUCCUCGUCGAUACGAAAACUCUGCUACUAGAACCUGGAGGGAUAAAAAAAACAAGAGUGAGUGGGCCUAACAAUAAAGCUUUAAUAAUGACCUUCUAAACGAUAUAAUCUCUCACUGUAAUACCUUUAUAGUUUCCAGGAAAUCAUACUACGUAUAAGUAUGAAAUCAAAUGUAAAUCAACAGUAUAUCCAGAAAUAUUCCAAAUCACUACAUAUCGGCAAUAGCAUAAUAAAAUUAGGUGCUCAUCAAUCUAUGAUAACCCACGAGUCAGAGUUGCCUAACGCAACCUGUACGACUCAUAAAUCAAUCUAUGAUAACACAUGAGUCUGAGUUGCCUAACGCAACUUGUACAACUCAUAGAUCAAUCUAUGAUAACACAUGAGUCGGAGUUGCCUAAUGCAACUUGUACGACUCAUAGGCAACCUAUACGACAGUGUCGGAGUUGCCUAUUGCAACCUGUACGACAAUGGCGGAGUUGCCUAUUAUUGAAACAUGCACGACAGUGUCAGAGUUGCUUGUACGAUAGUGUCGGAGUUGCCUAUUGCAACCUGUACGACAAUGUCGGAGUUACCUAUUGUUGAAACAUGCACAACAGCGUUAGAGUUUCCUAUUAUUGCAACCUACAUGACAGUGUCAGAGAUGCCUAUUAUUGCAACCUGUACGACAGUGUUAGAGUUACAUAAAACACUAAUAUAGUCAUGCCAUAAUUCAAUCAUUUCAAAUAACACCAUAAACUCACCUGAACUUACUUGUACGUCCCGCAUUCACCUUAGCACUUCAAGGCAUUCACAACAAUUAUAUGUAGGUAAUAUGCAUAUGGUUAUGCCAUGAUGCAAUCUAAAACUCAACCAUAUCAUAGUAUUUUAGAAUAUAUAAAUAUAUAUAUAUGACAUGGCAUAAAACGCAUAAAUCAAUUUAAAAGCGUUUGUGGAACUAUAAAAUAUAUAUAUACGAUAAAAAGGAAAAGAGUCACUCACCUGAAGUUUGCGCUACAAUUCUCUACCACGAAUAUCGAGGCGUCAUGAACCAUCGUUGCCUAGAACAAUUAUCAAAUAACAUCUCAUAAUUUCUAUCGAUAGAACAUGUAUCUUACAUAAAAUACAUCGCUUAGGACGUUCUAGAAUGAUUUGAAACUCAUUGACCAAAAGUCAACCGUCGGUCAAAGAUUAACGGUAGGAUCCACAAUGCUACGUAACUCAAUCCAGAAGAUCUGCACCUCAGAUUUCUGAUCCGUAACUUCCAAAGAUCCACAUUAUGCUUCUAGAACAUCAUAUUAAAAUUUCAUUACGAUCCAACGGUCGGAUCUCCGCUAAUUGCUAGAAUUAAGUGGCGGCCAACGUUUUAUUUUAAGAGCUUACAAAUCCAGUUCGGGAAAAUCUGCAUGUCGGAUUCUCAAUCCGUAAGUUUUCUUGGUCUUCAAAUAUUAUGUUCUACAACACAAUAAAGUUUAGUGACAAUCCAACUGUCGAAUCGUCGAUUAAUUUAAUAUCCAAGUGGCGGUCUCUAUCAAAACUAUAGUCUUACGACGAGAUUUUGUCAAUCGAACCUCACAUAUGAAAUUAGAGUAAACAAAUUAGUCUAGGAAUGGUAGGUGGUGCCUCGGCCCACAAGCCGCUGCACACAGUGGCCAGCCGCUCUGACUCGUCGGAAAAUUAUACUAUUUAAAAAAAUUCCCAAAUUUUACAGGCAUGUAGAGAAAAUCAAAGGGAACAAUUUUUAUACCUAGGCUGAGGUCCAAUUCGGCCAGGAAGUGUUCCAAUUUGUCUCAAACCCGCCGGAAACCCUAUAAAGGGUGUGCUUCGAUUCGUCGAUUCUGAAGCUCCGUCGCCCCAACCAUCAGUUGGUUCAUGUUCCUGGGUGCAAUGGAAGACUAAUGGUAGUGGUAAUUGACAAUAGUGGCUUCAGAAAUGGCAAAUUGCUGUUGUGUACACCAAAAACUCAACGAGCUUGAUCUUGGUGAUACGAGAACCAAAACCCAUCAAAUUUGGGUGGAGAUACAAGCUGGAAGGUCACCGAGCUGUAUACACAUGGUGGAUUGCCUUGAUUCACCAGAAAAACGGCGAGAAGGCCAUCAGAAAACAUGGAGGAAAUGGGUCGAAGGUUGGGUCACGGUUUGCAGGGGUCCGGGUUGGUUCCCCUCCUUCUCAUUCUCCUCUCCUUUCUCUCCUUUCCCCUCUCCUAAUUGGACAGUUCCUUCUUCUUCUCCUGAUUGGGCAAACCACACCUCAUUUCCUCUCCUCCGGUUGGGCAGUAGC
rnacentral:lncRNA from 1 species